UCAGAACGAACGCUGGCGGCAGGCUUAACACAUGCAAGUCGAGCGCCCCGCAAGGGGAGCGGCAGACGGGUGAGUAACGCGUGGGAAUCUACCUUUUGCUACGGAAUAACUCAGGGAAACUUGUGCUAAUACCGUAUGUGCCCUUCGGGGGAAAGAUUUAUCGGCAAAGGAUGAGCCCGCGUUGGAUUAGCUAGUUGGUGAGGUAAAGGCUCACCAAGGCGACGAUCCAUAGCUGGUCUGAGAGGAUGAUCAGCCACACUGGGACUGAGACACGGCCCAGACUCCUACGGGAGGCAGCAGUGGGGAAUAUUGGACAAUGGGCGCAAGCCUGAUCCAGCCAUGCCGCGUGAGUGAUGAAGGUCUUAGGAUUGUAAAGCUCUUUCACCGGUGAAGAUAAUGACGGUAACCGGAGAAGAAGCCCCGGCUAACUUCGUGCCAGCAGCCGCGGUAAUACGAAGGGGGCUAGCGUUGUUCGGAUUUACUGGGCGUAAAGCGCACGUAGGCGGACUUUUAAGUCAGGGGUGAAAUCCCGGGGCUCAACCCCGGAACUGCCUUUGAUACUGGAAGUCUUGAGUAUGGUAGAGGUGAGUGGAAUUCCGAGUGUAGAGGUGAAAUUCGUAGAUAUUCGGAGGAACACCAGUGGCGAAGGCGGCUCACUGGA
rnacentral:rRNA from 2 species